UACGUAGGGUGCAAGCGUUGUCCGGAAUUAUUGGGCGUAAAGAGCUCGUAGGCAGUCUGUCGCGUCGGCUGUGAAAUCCCGAGGCUCAACCUCGGGUCUGCAGUCGAUACGGGCAAACUGGAGUGUUGCAGGGGAGACUGGAAUUCCUGGUGUAGCGGUGAAAUGCGCAGAUAUCAGGAGGAACACCGGUGGCGAAGGCGGGUCUCUGGGCAACAACUGACGCUGAGGAGCGAAAGCGUGGGGAGCGAACAGG
rnacentral:rRNA from 1 species